UUGAACGCUGGCGGCAGGCCUAACACAUGCAAGUCGAGCGGUAGCACAGAGAGCUUGCUCUCGGGUGACGAGCGGCGGACGGGUGAGUAAUGUCUGGGAAACUGCCUGAUGGAGGGGGAUAACUACUGGAAACGGUAGCUAAUACCGCAUAACGUCGCAAGACCAAAGUGGGGGACCUUCGGGCCUCAUGCCAUCAGAUGUGCCCAGAUGGGAUUAGCUAGUAGGUGGGGUAACGGCUCACCUAGGCGACGAUCCCUAGCUGGUCUGAGAGGAUGACCAGCCACACUGGAACUGAGACACGGUCCAGACUCCUACGGGAGGCAGCAGUGGGGAAUAUUGCACAAUGGGCGCAAGCCUGAUGCAGCCAUGCCGCGUGUGUGAAGAAGGCCUUCGGGUUGUAAAGCACUUUCAGCGGGGAGGAAGGCGAUAAGGUUAAUAACCUUGUCGAUUGACGUUACCCGCAGAAGAAGCACCGGCUAACUCCGUGCCAGCAGCCGCGGUAAUACGGUGGGUGCAAGCGUUAAUCGGAAUUACUGGGCGUAAAGCGCACGCAGGCGGUCUGUCAAGUCGGAUGUGAAAUCCCCGGGCUCAACCUGGGAACUGCAUUCGAAACUGGCAGGCUAGAGUCUUGUAGAGGGGGGUAGAAUUCCAGGUGUAGCGGUGAAAUGCGUAGAGAUCUGGAGGAAUACCGGUGGCGAAGGCGGCCCCCUGGACAAAGACUGACGCUCAGGUGCGAAAGCGUGGGGAGCAAACAGGAUUAGAUACCCUGGUAGUCCACGCCGUAAACGAUGUCGAUUUGGAGGUUGUGCCCUUGAGGCGUGGCUUCCGGAGCUAACGCGUUAAAUCGACCGCCUGGGGAGUACGGCCGCAAGGUUAAAACUCAAAUGAAUUGACGGGGGCCCGCACAAGCGGUGGAGCAUGUGGUUUAAUUCGAUGCAACGCGAAGAACCUUACCUGGUCUUGACAUCCACAGAACUUUCCAGAGAUGGAUUGGUGCCUUCGGGAACUGUGAGACAGGUGCUGCAUGGCUGUCGUCAGCUCGUGUUGUGAAAUGUUGGGUUAAGUCCCGCAACGAGCGCAACCCUUAUCCUUUGUUGCCAGCGGUUAGGCCGGGAACUCAAAGGAGACUGCCAGUGAUAAACUGGAGGAAGGUGGGGAUGACGUCAAGUCAUCAUGGCCCUUACGACCAGGGCUACACACGUGCUACAAUGGCAUAUACAAAGAGAAGCGACCUCGCGAGAGCAAGCGGACCUCAUAAAGUAUGUCGUAGUCCGGAUUGGAGUCUGCAACUCGACUCCAUGAAGUCGGAAUCGCUAGUAAUCGUAGAUCAGAAUGCUACGGUGAAUACGUUCCCGGGCCUUGUACACACCGCCCGUCACACCAUGGGAGUGGGUUGCAAAAGAAGUAGGUAGCUUAACCUUCGGGAGGGCGCUUACCACUUUGUGAUUCAUGACUGGGGUG
rnacentral:rRNA from 1 species